GGAGGAGCAGCCCGGCCCGCCCCGCCAACCGGCUCAUCUACGAGAAGUCCCCGUACCUGCAGCAGCACGCCCGCAACCCCGUGGACUGGUACCCGUGGGGUCAGGAAGCCUUUGAUAAAGCGAAGCAGGAGAACAAGCUGAUCUUCCUGUCG